GAGCGGGAAGAAACGGUUUUCUAACCUUGAACAACUCCUUGAAGUAAGGGCUGCAAGCGGAUAGGACGACCUUGUGAGCCUGAAGUCGCCUGCCAUCGCAGGCGAAUGUAACGUCGACGAAGUCCUCAUCGUCUCGCAACGCCUCGAACUGGCUCGUGAUGUUCGCCUGAAAGUUGUUCCACCGCAAGCAAAACUGCUGCUGGCUAUCCGUCAUUCUCUAUUUCACUCGACUCCCUCAAAAACACCUGUGAUCACACAUCGAGGGAAGGUUUAUUUUUCUUUCUCUUUUUCUUUCUUUCUUUCUUUCGUUCUUUCGUUCGUUCUUUCUUUCUUUUUUUUGUGUUCCGAAAAUUUUUUUUUUUUUUUUUUGUUGUUGUCGUUUCCUUUAUUAUUAAUUAUUUAUUAUUAUUGUUAUUAUUAUUAUUAUUAUUUUUUUUUUUCCUCGGGUCGGGGUAACUUAGUGUACCGUACGGCUAUCUAAACUUAACUCUCUCAUUACUGUAAAAAUGUAAAAUGUAAAAAGUGAAUCGAUGACUGAAGAGGAAACGUACGAUAUAAAUAAUGACAAUCGAUAUCCAGGUUGCCAUCCGCGAGGGAGAAAAAUUCUCUAGCUUGGAGCCGCGCAUACGCCGCCACUUUUCCCAUUGCCGCGAGGACCGUAUUCGUGUAUAUGUUGUGUUAGCAGCAGUAGCAGUAGUAGCACCAGCAGUAGCAGCGACGGCGGCAGUGUUGUUAGCAGCAGUAGUAGUAGCGGUAACAGCAGUAACAGCAGGAGCAGCAGCAGCAGCAGCAGUAACGUUUCAUCGUUUCUCUAACGUCAUUCACACACGACUACUACUACUACCACUACUACUAUCACUACUACUACUACUACUACACUACUACUUCUACUACUACUAUCACUACUACUACUAUGACAACGAUGACAAUGAUUGCGAAUAGUUACUUAUACUACUCUACUACUACACUACUAUUACUAUUACUCCUUACUACUACUACUAUUACUCUUUACUACAACUAUUACUACUACUAUCACCUAUUACAACGAUGACAAUGCAAUACAACUAUUACGACAGAACAACACAACGACGCGACACACACGCAAGCGCAUAAACCGAAGAACACUAUUAGAAACCUUUCGCGAUUAUGGUGUAGUAGUAGUGGUGGCGGUGCCUGUGGUUGUGGUGGUUGGUGGUUAUGGUUAUGUGGUACGAUAUGGUAUAUGGUAUAGAAGGAACGUGCGCGCGUCCAACCUCUCGAUCCUCUUACGAACACUACGAACGCAUAACGACACAGAAGAGGAAGGACAGAUAGCAAGAGAGAGAGAGAGAGAGAGAGAGAGAGAAAAUAAAAUUAAAAGAAAAAAAAAGAAAAAAAAAAUUGGAAUUUAUUCUAUGGUAUAUAUCCGUACGAAUUAAACGGGGAACGGACCGACAGCGCCGGCUCUAUUUCGCGCCAUGUCUGCAUUGCCGAAUUUCCGUUAGGACCAAUGAUUCCACUUCUUCGUGAUAUUACCAACUUUGAAUAAAAAAAUUUCUCUAACAGACUCUCACUCACUCACUAACUUACUAACUCACUCGUCCGCUCCUUCGUUCCUUCGCUCGCUCACCUUCUGACGUAUCGUUUUGAACGUCGUGUUUCUUACUAUACGAGAAAAAAAAGAGAGAGAGAGAAAGAGAUAUAGAUAUGUAUAUAUAGAGAUAGAGAGGGGGAAUAUUCAAGACUAAUAAAAGUUUUCGCACGAAUUUCAAAUGAUCCAUAACCUAAAAAUAAUAAAUAAUGUUAAACUAUUAAUCCGAAUAUCCUACGUCUUUGAUAAAUAUUUCUUUAUUAAAUUUCUUUUAUGAGAAACAAAUACGAUCUCUAAUUAACGCAGGUAUCGUUCUGAGUUAAUAAAAGUUGAAAAAAAGAAAAAGAAAAAAGAAAUUAUAUGUAAAAAGAAAAAGAUUAUAUAUUUUAUAUAUAAAAUAAAAAAAUAUUAUAUAAAAAUUAUAUACACAUACAUGUACAUAUGUAUAUGUAGAUAUAUAUAUAUAUAUAUAUAUAUAUAAAUAUAUUCUAGAAUCCCAAUGAAAUAUUUCGACCAAUCUCCGAACGAUGCAUUCGACUGUACCAAGUUACUAUCGCUGAUUGGUCGUGAACAAAUGUUAUGAACCAAUCAGGUUACGGCUGAGGUAAUGUAAUAAUACGAGUCGAAGAGGAUUACGACGCUUUAAUACGCUCAAAGUAAGCACGAUGUUCCGACCGCGUUACUACCAAAUCGUGUAUUUCCAAAUUAAUCCGAGAGUGGCGCUAUGAACGAACCAAUCCGCUCCUCUGCCCUCGCCAAUUCCCCCUUCUCACCGCCACCACCACCAUCGUCACUACCACCACCACUAAUUCGUGCAAAAACCCAUCUCGUACGCUGAUCUCACGCGGCUCUUUACUCUCGAUAUGAUCCUAUAUUUAACUGUACUUACAACGCCUUUGGUUGGUGAUCGUGGUGGUUUCCCUUAGUGGAAACCAGAAAUUUGAUACUACGUCACGGAAGGUGAGGCGAUCUCGCUCAUCGCCACAGCGUCCAAACUGGCCGCCGUGGAGGAUGUGGGUCCAAAGCGGCCCGAAGGGCAAACCAGACCAUCCGUCACCUCCCUGAAGGUCUCACCUACGGCGAGGGCGACUCUUCAAGCCCUAAGAACUAAUAGAAAUAGGAUAUCAUCAGCAACGACACCACCGUGCACUAAGGACGCCGAGACCAUCACAGGAAUGAGAGGAAAGAUAUCAAGUAUUAGAUUUUUCUGGUUUAAAUCGAAGCAAUUGAGGUUUUAUCGAAAUUGGCAAAGAUCCAGAAUGGCAGCCGGUCUAGCUUCUAUUUUCUUCGAUUCGAGUUGAUGAGCCGAAGACGCCUACUGUAUUAUGGAGUACUCCGUCGACUAGCGGUUCUAAAAGAACUCUUUGGUGUUCUUAGAUCGUGCGUAAAAAAGAAGAUUCGUUAAAUAGAUCUUAUAUGAAUAGUAGUGCUUAGAGGGAGAGAGACAGAGAGAGAGAAAGAGAGAGAGAGAGAGAGAGAGAGCGAGAGGGAAAGAGAGAGAGAGAGGGAAGUAAGUAAGUAAGGAAGGAAGGAAGGAAGGAGAAUUUAGAAAAAACAUAUGAAACGAACGUUUACGUGAACUGUUAUUUUUACAAAAAAAAAAAAAAAAGAAAAAAAAAAAAAAAAAAAGAAAAAAAGAAAGAAAAAGAAGAAAAAGGAACAGAAACAAAAAAAAGACGAAAGUAUCUAUAAUUAAGUAGUACAUCUGGCGUGUUCGUUCUUUUCUAAAAGAAUUAUCUUUUUCUACAAGAAUAAAAAAAAAAAGAGAGAGAGAGA